UACGUAGGGCGCAAGCGUUGUCCGGAAUUAUUGGGCGUAAAGAGCUCGUAGGCGGUUCUGUCGCGUCUGGUGUGAAAACUCAAAGGCUUCGAACCUUGAGCCUUGCAUCGGGUACGGGGCAGACUAGAGUGUGGUAGGGGUGACUGGAAUUCCUGGUGUAGCGGUGGAAUGCGCAGAUAUCAGGAGGAACACCGAGUGGCGAAGGCAGGUCACUGGGCCGACUACUGACGCUGAGGAGCGAAAGACAUGGGGAGCGAACAGG
rnacentral:rRNA from 1 species